rnacentral:SRP_RNA from 1 species
GUCUCCAGACUAGGUGGCUGCUAUCGAGGGAGACUGAGGCUGGUGGAUCUCUUGAGCUCAGGAGUUAUGAGUUCUAGUGUGUUAAGCUGGUCUGUUUUCUACACUAAGUCUGGCACCAAUAUGGUGAUUAAGGGGCCACUGGGCUGCCUAAGGAGGAGUAAAGUGGCCCAGGUUGGAAGUAGGGCUUGUCAAAAUCCUGUGCCAACUGAUGGGAGGAUCAGGUCUGUGAAUGGUUACUGCAAGUCCUACCUGGGUAAAAGAAGGAGACUUGGUCUCA